ACACUGCCAUAACUUACAGUAUUUGACACGGAAAUCAUCACUUAGUUGCUGUGGGAUGAAAAAAAAGGGGGGGAGAGAAAAGCUGGUAUUUCACUCUGGUCAGAGAUAAAGACAAAAAACAUUUCCAGGGUGAGGAUCACAGUGCACAUAACCAGUCACAAAUAUCAUCUCACUGUAUAGCUCACCGAUUCGUUUGGAAACCUAAGAAAGAAGCAUGUGCUGUAAAACUAUGACAGAGAACCAAUAUUUUGUGGGUUCCGCCAUUCCUGUAGAUGUAGCCACUCACCUCAUCAGAUGAGAUGUUAUGUUUUCUCAUGUACUCCAGAUCAUCAACUUUGCCACCUUCAC